rnacentral:rRNA from 1 species
UGGGGAAUAUUGGACAAUGGGCGGAAGCCUGAUCCAGCAACGCCGCGUGAGGGAUGACGGCCUUCGGGUUGUAAACCUCUUUCAGUACUGACGAAGCGUAAGUGACGGUAGGUACAGAAGAAGCACCGGCCAACUACGUGCCAGCAGCCGCGGUAAUACGUAGGGUGCGAGCGUUGUCCGGAAUUAUUGGGCGUAAAGGGCUCGUAGGCGGUUUGUCGCGUCGGGAGUGAAAACACCGGGCUUAACUCGGUGCUUGCUUUCGAUACGGGCAGACUAGAGGCAUGCAGGGGAGAACGGAAUUCCUGGUGUAGCGGUGAAAUGCGCAGAUAUCAGGAGGAACACCGGUGGCGAAGGCGGUUCUCUGGGCAUGUCCUGACGCUGAGGAGCGAAAGUGUGGGGAGCGAACA